GAUGAACGCUGGCGGCGCUCCUAACACAUGCAAGUCGAACGAGCGAGAGAGAGCUUGCUUUCUCGAGCGAGUGGCGAACGGGUGAGUAACGCGUGAGGAACCUGCCUCAAAGAGGGGGACAACAGUUGGAAACGACUGCUAAUACCGCAUAAGCCCACAGCUCGGCAUCGAGCAGAGGGAAAAGGAGUGAUCCGCUUUGAGAUGGCCUCGCGUCCGAUUAGCUAGUUGGUGAGGUAACGGCCCACCAAGGCGACGAUCGGUAGCCGGACUGAGAGGUUGAACGGCCACAUUGGGACUGAGACACGGCCCAGACUCCUACGGGAGGCAGCAGUGGGGAAUAUUGCACAAUGGGGGAAACCCUGAUGCAGCGACGCCGCGUGGAGGAAGAAGGUCUUCGGAUUGUAAACUCCUGUUGUUGAGGAAGAUAAUGACGGUACUCAACAAGGAAGUGACGGCUAACUACGUGCCAGCAGCCGCGGUAAAACGUAGGUCACAAGCGUUGUCCGGAAUUACUGGGUGUAAAGGGAGCGCAGGCGGGAAAGCAAGUUGGAAGUGAAAUCCAUGGGCUCAACCCAUGAACUGCUUUCAAAACUGUUUUUCUUGAGUAGUGCAGAGGUAGGCGGAAUUCCCGGUGUAGCGGUGGAAUGCGUAGAUAUCGGGAGGAACACCAGUGGCGAAGGCGGCCUACUGGGCACCAACUGACGCUGAGGCUCGAAAGUGUGGGUAGCANACAGG
rnacentral:rRNA from 1 species